rnacentral:rRNA from 1 species
AUUGAACGCUGGCGGAAUGCUUUACACAUGCAAGUCGAGCGGCAGCACGGGGGCAACCCUGGUGGCGAGCGGCGAACGGGUGAGUAACACAUCGGAACAUGCCCAGUCGUGGGGGAUAACACUUCGAAAGAAGUGCUAAUACCGCAUACGUCCUGAGGGAGAAAGCGGGGGAUCGCAAGACCUCGCGCGAUUGGAGUGGCCGAUGUCAGAUUAGCUAGUUGGUGGGGUAAAGGCCUACCAAGGCAACGAUCUGUAGCUGGUCUGAGAGGAUGAUCAGCCACAAUGGGACUGAGACACGGCCCAGACUCCUACGGGAGGCAGCAGUGGGGAAUUUUGGACAAUGGGGGCAACCCUGAUCCAGCCAUUCCGCGUGAGUGAAGAAGGCCUUCGGGUUGUAAAGCUCUUUCGGCAGGAACGAAACGGUGAGCUCUAACAUAGCUUGCUAAUGACGGUACCUGAAAAAGAAGCACCGGCUAACUACGUG